rnacentral:lncRNA from 1 species
GAUCACUCAUAGAAAAAUGGCCUCAUUUUUUCCCUUAGAAAAUACGUAGCCAUUGUCUCCUUGGAGCAACGCCAGCGCUACAAGGACGACUUCAAUGCAGAGUAUGAGGAAUACCGGAAUUUACAUUCUCAGAUUGACAAAACCAUGAAGAAGUUCAGACAGUUUCAGGAGCAAUGGAAGUCUCUGGCUCCAGGCUCUGAAUCCUAUCAGGCACUGCAUCAUCGAAUCCUAGCAGAUUAUCAGCAGUUACAACAGGGUAGCCCCAGCUACUCUGAAAUGAAGAGCAGGUGCCUGUACCUCCACAAAAAGCUGGCCCAUAUUCAGAGCCGCAUUUCUGAAUUUGACCAGCUGUAAGUGGAGUACUGGCACCAGACAACUGCUUCAGCCUUGUGAAAUCUGCGAACCCUGGAUUUUUAUUUCAACCCUAGAUUUUUUAUUUAUUAGAGGAUUAGUUUUUAGGAUUAUUUAAGUUAGUAUUGAACAGUAAUUUAUUUUAGCACUGAGCUGUAGAAUAUUUCUUAUACGUGUAGGAUUAGUUCAAAGAAGUUUAGUAAGUUUAAGAAGUUGAAAGAUGAU